rnacentral:piRNA from 1 species
AUAGUCAACAAGUACCGUAAAG